rnacentral:rRNA from 1 species
GUCGACGAGAGAGAAGGAGCUUGCUUCUUCGAUCGAGUGGCGAACGGGUGAGUAACGCGUGAGGAACCUGCCUCAAAGAGGGGGACAACAGUUGGAAACGACUGCUAAUACCGCAUAAGCCCACGGGUCGGCAUCGACCUGAGGGAAAAGGAGUGAUCCGCUUUGAGAUGGCCUCGCGUCCGAUUAGCUAGUUGGUGAGGUAACGGCCCACCAAGGCGACGAUCGGUAGCCGGACUGAGAGGUUGAACGGCCACAUUGGGACUGAGACACGGCCCAGACUCCUACGGGAGGCAGCAGUGGGGAAUAUUGCACAAUGGGGGAAACCCUGAUGCAGCGACGCCGCGUGGAGGAAGAAGGUCUUCGGAUUGUAAACUCCUGUUGUUGAGGAAGAUAAUGACGGUACUCAACAAGGAAGUGACGGCUAACUACGUGCCAGCAGCCGCGGUAAAACGUAGGUCACAAGCGUUGUCCGGAAUUACUGGGUGUAAAGGGAGCGCAGGCGGGAAGACAAGUUGGAAGUGAAAUCUAUGGGCUCAACCCAUAAACUGCUUUCAAAACUGUUUUUCUUGAGUAGUGCAGAGGUAGGCGGAAUUCCCGGUGUAGCGGUGGAAUGCGUAGAUAUCGGGAGGAACACCAGUGGCGAAGGCGGCCUACUGGGCACCAACUGACGCUGAGG